AGUAUGACACUCAGACUCCUUCCUGUUGCCUGCAGAUCAAGAUGUAGCUCUUUCAGCUCCUUCUCCAGCACCAUGUCUGACUGCAGGCCAUCAUGUCCCACCACGAUGUUCAUGAACUAAACCUCCGAAAGGCUAUGCUGCAGCUGUUACAUCUGGGUGUUGUUCUGAACAUUUGGGGUACAGCAAGAGCAAAACUAUGGCAGAUCCCUGUGUUCAUGGAGCUCACAUGAGGGCUAACUGCUGAACUACAAAUGCCAGGCUUAGCUUCUAAAGCUGCAGGCUGGAAAAGCCACACCUCGAAGCAUUGGCCAAGGCCAGGUUUGUUAUGGUUUUCUUUGAUUCAAGAUGUGCUUUUUCCAUUUGCAACUCCUAAGUCCUGGACAACUUUUAUUCUUGGCUUUCCUGUUUUCUCAAGACUCUGAAAGGCAAACUGAAGAUGAUGAACGAUUAGAACAGAGUCCACCCCGUCCGUGAUGGUUUUGGAGGACAACUGGCAAAAAGACAGUGAGAACUAACCCAGAUUCUCGUGUAAAGCUGGGAACAGCACACAAAGAGGCCGUGGUGUCUCCCUCAGAGGGAGCCUGUGAAGAAAAGCUAAGCUCGCCUUGUGGUUGUGGGGCCAGGUUUGUUUGUUCGCCUCUACCAAGCUGCAGCCACAUCUGCUUUCCACUAACGUGGGGGAAGCGAGCUGUCCCCUUGGACCUCUGAACAUCUUAACGUGAUGCCUGUGGCCCUCACAUUGUUUCCUGGAGGAGUUAGUGUUUGUGUGUUCCUUUCCCGAAGAAAGGGUUUAGUAUGUUUCUUUAUUUCUGCAAAAUUCAAUUGAACAAAACUGUCCGUGGCUUUUCUCAAACUUUGAAACUGUCCCAGAUUUGGACACAGUGUUUAUUUGUGCUGUUGUGAGACAGGAUGGAUCUGAAAGGCCAAAAGACACCUGAACUUUUGACUCUACUCUUAGGCUCAGGCAGCCGAGUGUGCAUUGUUCUAUCUUAAAAAUGGAAAACAAGGAACUAUUCAUAUCUUGUUUUCAGAGCCUUUCCCCCUCUUGGAGACUGUGCCCCCACCAAGUGCCUCCAAACACCCCAGGAAACCACCGCAUCAUUGUGAAAAGACUAAUCGCCACACACCACUUGGUUUUCCUUCCUGGACGUCAUGGGCCAGAACCCUGUGGUUCCCACGUUGUUUCUGUCAUCGCUCCCCAGGAGUGUUAGCUGUUAUGCUGAGCCCGGGUGGGACAGCCUGUCUCAACUCCAGCCCUUAUGUAAGUGGCUGUGGAAGAACUGGCAAUAACUAAACAUUUUUCUA